AGUGAACGCUGGCGGUAGGUCUAACACAUGCAAGUCGAACGGCAGCACAGUAAGAGCUUGCUCUUACGGGUGGCGAGUGGCGGACGGGUGAGGAAUACAUCGGAAUCUACUUUUUCGUGGGGGAUAAUGUAGGGAAACUUACGCUAAUACCGCAUACGACCUACGGGUGAAAGCAGGGGAUCUUCGGACCUUGCGCGAUUGAAUGAGCCGAUGUCGGAUUAGCUAGUUGGCGGGGUAAAGGCCCACCAAGGCGACGAUCCGUAGCUGGUCUGAGAGGAUGAUCAGCCACACUGGAACUGAGACACGGUCCAGACUCCUACGGGAGGCGGCAGUGGGGAAUAUUGGACAAUGGGCGCAAGCCUGAUCCAGCCAUACCGCGUGGGUGAAGAAGGCCUUCGGGUUGUAAAGCCCUUUUGUUGGGAAAGAAAAGCAGCAGGUUAAUACCCCGCUGUUCUGACGGUACCCAAAGAAUAAGCACCGGCUAACUUCGUG
rnacentral:rRNA from 1 species